rnacentral:rRNA from 1 species
AUUGAACGCUGGCGGCAUGCUUUACACAUGCAAGUCGAACGGGGUGAGGGGGCGAACCUCUCACUCAGUGGCGAACGGGUGGAGUAAUGCAUCGGAACGUACCCUGUAGUGGGGAGUAACGCCGGGAAACCGGCGCUAAUACCGCAUAUUUCUCUACGGAGGAAAGUGGGGAUCCGCAAGGACCUCACGCUAUGGGGAGCGGCCGAUGUCCGAUUAGCUAGUUGGUGGGGUAAUGGCCCACCAAGGCUGCGAUCGGUAGCUGGUCUGAGAGGAUGAUCAGCCACACUGGGACUGAGACACGGCCCAGACUCC